rnacentral:lncRNA from 1 species
GCCACGUGCGAGCACUGCUUGCAGGAGCCCUGUAUAGUGCAGCAACGCCGGCUGAAAUUUCCGAAAAAAGCCUCAAGCCCUGGCCAGGGGAACAGUGAGAAGCGGCGGCGCCUCUAUAACCAUGCAUGGCGCGUCCUGAAGAGUAUUGGCUUCUGGCAGCAGCCACAGUACCGGCGCCGCAAAGUCGUAGCUCCGGGGCCCGAACCGCUCGGUCAAAUGGCGCUCCAUUCCCGGAGGGAGGUGAUGCCCGAGUGCAUUGUGAAGCGCAUCCGGGAGCUGCGGCCUAACAAGCCCAAUGAGCCAUAUAUGGGCCACCGCUGGACCUGAGGAGAUCACUUGCUGCGUUGGACCUUGUUUCACCAGAAGAUAAUGCACAAUGAUGACUGCAACACAUCUUGCUUCGCACUGACGGAACACAUUCUAAAUAAAAAUUCUUUUCUUCGUACAUUCCGUAAUACAUUUCUUUUAUUCUGAACCAAUAAAGAUGAAGAAUAUGCUUCAUUUAUUGUUCAUGUAUUCAUUUAUUUCAAAGCAAAUAAAGAUAACAAUCUGCUU